CAUUCAUCAUAGGUACCCAUCCAUCAAUUCCUAGACGAGUUCACAGGUGAGAGAGCUCACAGGUGGAGCGCUAUGGAUGAAGGCUACAGUCUGAGCUGGGAAGAAAGGGCGUGGACCCCUGCAGGAAGGAUGGAGUUGUGGCACCCCAAUUCUCCCAGACCUGGAGUCCAAAGGCCUGCGGUGGAGCCCUGCGACAUUGAACUCUGAGGCCUUGAGCUAGACACUUAGCUAUGAGCCUCAGUUUCCUCAUCUGUGAAGAAGGAACUGCAUCCAGUAUCCCAGAGGACUGAAGGCCAUCAUCUAUGCCUGGGAUGGCUGGGUGAGGAGGGCAUGCCAUGCUGCACGUGGAACUGCUUUGUAAACAGUUCAGCUCUGAAGUGGACGCUCAGCUUGGCGCUAGAGAAAUCUGCCUUGCAGCCAGCUGCCCCUUCAGUCUUGCAGCCAAACCUCUGCAAAGUCAUCCCAGCCAAGGAGAGGCAAAAAUCCUGGCCAGGAAUCCAGUGGCCAAGAGAAGAGGGGCUUCCCGGGUCUAUCCCUCAGCUGGAGUGUCAUGCACCUUGCUGGUCCUGGCCUUCAGAGACAAGAGGAGGAGCCUGGUCCGAAAGACUAUUCCUGACAGAGGGCUCCAGACUGGGGUCCUGGACCCAAAAGACUGCACAGGGAGACCCCGCCCAGACCCGGAAAGACCUCAAGAGGAAGCUUCAGACCUAAAGAUCCUCAGAUCCUGAGAGACCCCAAGAGGAUUGUCCAGAUGCAAAACAAAACUUGAUGGUAUCUGGGGGGACUUCAGGCCCUAAGACCCACUGUGGGCAUCAUACACGAAGAUCCCACAAACCCAGAGCCAAGUUUGUGGGUGCAGUGCCCCUCCACACUGACCUGGCCCUGCAGGGGCCUUUCCCAGGCUGAGCUGCCGCAGCCGUCUCUGGUGGGCCCGCCCCUCACAGUGCACCUGGGCCUGGGCUGCUGAG